rnacentral:rRNA from 1 species
UUGGACGCUGGCGGCAUGCCUUACACAUGCAAGUCGAACGGCAGCACGGGAGCAAUCCUGGUGGCGAGUGGCGAACGGGGGAGUAAUGUAUCGGAACGUACCUUUCAGUGGGGGAUAACGUAGCGAAAGUUACGCUAAUACCGCAUAUUCUGUGAGCAGGAAAGCAGGGGAUCGCAAGACCUUGCGCUGAUUGAGCGGCCGAUAUCAGAUUAGCUAGUUGGUGAGGUAAAGGCUCACCAAGGCGACGAUCUGUAGCGGGUCUGAGAGGAUGAUCCGCCACACUGGAACUGAGACACGGUCCAGACUCCUACGGGAGGCAGCAGUGGGGAAUUUUGGACAAUGGGGGCAACCCUGAUCCAGCCAUGCCGCGUGAGUGAAGAAGGCCUUCGGGUUGUAAACUGCUUUUGUACGGAACGAAACGGUCUGCCCUAAUACGGUGGGCUAAUGACGGUACCGUAAGAAUAAGCACCGGCUAACUACGU